rnacentral:rRNA from 1 species
AUUGAACGCUGGCGGCAGGCCUAACACAUGCAAGUCGAGCGGAUGAAGGGAGCUUGCUCCUGGAUUCAGCGGCGGACGGGUGAGUAAUGCCUAGGAAUCUGCCUGGUAGUGGGGGAUAACGUCCGGAAACGGGCGCUAAUACCGCAUACGUCCUGAGGGAGAAAGUGGGGGAUCUUCGGACCUCACGCUAUCAGAUGAGCCUAGGUCGGAUUAGCUAGUUGGUGGGGUAAAGGCCUACCAAGGCGACGAUCCGUAACUGGUCUGAGAGGAUGACCAGUCACACUGGAACUGAGACACAGUCCAGACUCCUACGGGAGGCAGCAGUGGGGAAGAUUGGACAAUGGGCGAAAGCCUGAUCCAGCCAUGCCGCGUGUGUGGAGAAGGUCUUCGGAUUGUAAAGCACUUUAAGUUGGGAGGAAGGGCAGUAAGUUAAUACCUUGCUGUUUUGACGAUACCAACAGAAUGAGCACCGGCUAACUUCGUG